UACGAGGGGGGCGAGCGUUGUUCGGAAUUAUUGGGCGUAAAGGGUGCGUAGGCGGCCUGACAAGUCUGAUGUGAAAUCCCUGGGCUCAACCCAGGGCCUGCAUCGGAAACUGUCGGGCUUGAGUAUGGGAGAGGUGAGUGGAAUUUCCGGUGUAGCGGUGAAAUGCGUAGAUAUCGGGAGGAACACCUGUGGCGAAAGCGGCGCACUGGACCAUAACUGACGCUGAGGCGCGAAAGCUAGGGGAGCAAACAGG
rnacentral:rRNA from 1 species